GAUGAACGCUGGCGGCGUGCCUAAUACAUGCAAGUCGAGCGAAUGGAUUAAGAGCUUGCUCUUAUGAAGUUAGCGGCGGACGGGUGAGUAACACGUGGGUAACCUGCCCAUAAGACUGGGAUAACUCCGGGAAACCGGGGCUAAUACCGGAUAACAUUUUGAACCGCAUGGUUCGAAAUUGAAAGGCGGCUGCGGCUGUCAGUUAUGGAUGGACCCGCGUCGCAUUAGCCAGUUGGUGAGGUAACGGCUCACCAAGGCAACGAUGCGUAGCCGACCUGAGAGGGUGAUCGGCCACACUGGGACUGAGACACGGCCCAGACUCCUACGGGAGGCAGCAGUAGGGAAUCUUCCGCAAUGGACGAAAGUCUGACGGAGCAACGCCGCGUGAGUGAUGAAGGCUUUCGGGUCGUAAAACUCUGUUGUUAGGGAAGAACAAGUGCUAGUUGAAUAAGCUGGCACCUUGACGGUACCUAACCAGAAAGCCACGGCUAACUACGUGCCAGCAGCCGCCGUAA
rnacentral:rRNA from 1 species